rnacentral:misc_RNA from 1 species
UUCAUUCACUCAAGUGUUGAUUUUCGUUCAAUUUGGCGAAUUUGUGGUGAUAACGCUGGCAAAGAUUUUAUAAUUAUCGUGAUAAUAAACAUUGUUACUUAAUUUUAUUUGUUAGAAGUUACGAAAAACAGAGAAAAUGGCGUUGAGAACUUACGGCGAUAAGCCGAUAAGCUUUCAGAUAGAGGAGGGUGGAGAAUUCUACUGUGUCGGCUCAGAGGUCGGCAAUUACCUACGGUUAUUCCGUGGGUCUCUCUACAAGAAGUACCCGGGUAUGGCCCGGCGUACUCUAACCAACGAGGAAAGGAAACGUCUCAUUGACAACGGUCUAGGAGCUCACGUGCUGUCCAGCUCGGUAUCCCUCCUCAAAGCUUCUGAGGUUGAAGAUAUAAUUGAGGGCAACGAUGAUAAGUACAAAGCAGUGUCAGUCAGCCAGGAGCUGGCUACACCUAGGGAGAGCAAGAGUAAGAAGCCACACAACCAGUCAUGGCUGCCAGUUAUGCCAAACUCCUCGCAUUUGGAUGCAGUACCACAAGCCACUCAGAUAAGCAGGACAAGGGUACAUAAUAAAAAGGUGCGCACAUUCCCUCUGUGUUUUGAUGACACAGAUAUGACUGCAAUGUUGGAGAACUCUUCACAGAAGCAGAUACUGGUGCCCAUUAGAUUGGACAUGGAGAUUGAGGGACAGAAGCUGAGGGACACAUUCACAUGGAAUAAAAAUGAAUCAAUAAUAACACCAGAACAGUUUGCGGAAGUGUUAUGCGAUGACCUUGAACUGAACACGAGCACAUUCAUCCCAGCAAUAGCUUCGUCCAUCAGACAGCAAAUAGAUGCGUUCCCGAGCGAACCUCCCGCCAUAUUAGAGGAGCAGCCUGACCAGAGAGUUGUCAUCAAACUGAACAUACAUGUGGGCAACACUUCGCUAGUCGAUCAGGUGGAAUGGGACAUGUCAGAGAAAGAGAACAACCCGGAACAGUUUGCUAUGAAGCUGUGUGCUGAGCUGGGGUUAGGCGGGGAGUUCGUCACCGGUAUCGCUUACAGUGUGCGAGGACAGCUCAGCUGGCAUCAGAGGACUUAUGCUUUCAGUGAGGCACCGCUGCCUGUUGUUGAGACACCAUACCGCCAACCAUCAGAGGCGGAGCAAUGGGCGCCGCACCUGGAGACGCUCACCAACGCGGAGAUGGAGAAGAAGAUCCGCGACCAGGACCGCAACACGCGACGCAUGCGCCGCCUCGCCAACACCACGCCCGAUGUGUCCUUGAGUCGCGCCGUCAACCGGCUGAUCCGAGCCGACGAAGCCCUCUUCCAAACUACCCCAGAAAAGAGGAGGAAAAAGAUAUAAACAGGAUAUAACAACAUGAGAAAAAUGCUGUGUCCUCUUACUAUAGAAAUAUAUUUAGUUUACAUACCUACAUUAUAAAGUCCUCUUGGGUCCAUUUUUGUUGACAACAUAAACGUUAAGUUUCUGAAAGUAACUAAUUACUAUGAAUAUUCCCAUUCAAUUUUAAAAGUAAACACUUGUUUUAAGAAAACCUGAAGUUUAUGUUGUCGUUAAAAAUGGGCCCGAACAUUGUCAUACAUCUGGUUUGCUGCUGACCACUUCGACUUCAUACACUCCUGGUACUUUCAGCUGUAAAGUUAUACGUAGGUAAUUUCUAUUUUACUCGCCUGAUACGAAUUAUUAAGAACAUAAGCUUUUUAUAUAGAUUCUAUUUUUAUUGUUUUUAAAUACAUUGCUUUAGUUUAAACGUCUGACGGGUAUACCGCUGUUUCAUAUUCAAUAAUAAUUUUGCCAUAAUGUGAUAUUAACUUGCCAAUAUAGCACAUUCAAUGGUGGACACAGCAACUUUAUUUUUUAUUCCAUAUUAUUAUAAAUCUUGAUGUAAUCGUAAGUUUCAAUACGUAGUUAUUUCCAUUUAGGGAGUUUAAAGCGCUGUCUAUGAGAGUUCAGUUAAAAAAAAAAUAAAGUGUUGCCCAAAAGAAAAAAAGCGACAAGUCAUUUAGCACUUGAAAAGAGUUUUCAUAGCAAUUGCCUUUUUAACACAUCAGUUUUCAUCCGACUUCCAGAAAAGGAGCAGGUUCUAGAUUCGAUGUAUGUUUUUUUAGCCAGCGUUAACUGCUCUCUCUACGACAAAGUGAGUAUGAUGGCCUAAGGCAUAUAUUCCUAGGGUAGUUUGUAAUUGUCUGUGAAGCCUAAAAGGCUGUUUAAAUCGUCUGUAGUUAUUUCGAUUCUUCAGUUGAUUUGGUUUUACACCGUGGAGGAAAAGAUGAGCGGAGAUGCCAUAAGGCAGUUAGGUCAAGCACCUUCUUUUAGGUCAACCAAAACAACCCGAAUGGGUCGUUAGUUCGUUAGUGAACUAACGACCCAUUCGGGUUCUUUCAAGAUAAAUCUUUGACACAAUCUUUGUCAUCAUUUUUGAUGAUUGAUAAGCAUAUUGGUUUAAAAAUAUGGGUAGCGUAGCUAGUAACGUUCAUCACCCCCGACCAGCUACAUUUUGGCGACGCUACUUUCUUAGGAGAUUUUCCAUUAUGACAUCUACACUCGUCAUUUUGUUCUCCAUGUUUGACACACACAAUUUGACGUAAGUAAUGUGUGAGCAAGAAGCGAAUAUAUAUCCGCUGUUAUUUCUUAUCCCAUUCUUUAUACACUAUACAUACUUUAUACACGGGUAGUAUAUAACUUCUUCUAACAAGAUUAAAUAUGUGUUUAUCGAUGAGCACAUCACAUAAUUGUAUUUGAUGUGUUCAAGUCAACAGAAAAAAAUAGUAUCAUUCAUCUAAUAUUUUAACAAAUCUAUUGAGAUUAUAUCGAAAUUAUUCAUGUGCAUUUAUCAUUUUCCAGUUUCGUGUUGUGAGUUUAAAUGUAAUUUUGAUAAUAGUUUGUUUGGUUCUUACAGAGAUUCGAUUUAGUAAGUAAUAUAAGUCGAUUUUCGGGAUUGGUUGUAAUUUCAUUUCAUACUGGUUGUAAGUAAGACCUAGUUUUGGAAUAGUUAAGGAUAUAAAUAGUAUUUAAUAUUAUGUGACUUGGGAUUAAAUAAUCGUGUCAUUAUAUUAAAUAGAUCUGAUUUAUUUUAAGGACUACACAAGCAGAUUCAGCUCUCUGAAAAAUAUUUCUUACCAAUUUUAUCAUCAAUGUACUAUUCUAUCGUUCGAUUUAUUCAUAGGCACAAGUUCACCGAAAACUUAAACGUCCGUUUGUCUUUAACCGACUGUUUACUUUGAAAAUGGGACGUGAAACAAUAGUAAACAGUUGUUUAAAGAAAACGGACGUUUAUGUCGUUGGUGAAGGUUGGCCUGAGUUAAUUAGUAAGUUUUAGUGCUGAGAUAUAAACAGGCCUCAUAUCUGUGGUUAGUGUUUAAGAUAAAUAAAGACAUACGUAUUAAA